UCAACACUGCCACUAUCUGACACAACAGGAGCAGUGUCGGGGGGGUACUGCGCGCCCAGACGUGAGCUGUGAUAGGCUCUCGAAACUGGGCGCAUUUUUUUUUUAACCUGAGAAUUGGACACUUGAUGAAGGGAAGGACACGGAGAGAUGACAAACGCAGACUGGCAUGCAGUUGUUUUCAGGGUGGGAAGAACAAAGUGGAAUGUCUUCAGUUCUUACAAAAUAUGGUGGCAUUUGUAAUCUCUGAGUUUUUGUAUUUGGCCUACAAAGGGGGUCUUUUCAGGGAAACACGAAUGGAACCCUUCAGAGACAUGUCUACAUUGUAAAACAAUAUAGGAUAGAUACGGAUUCGGGAAGGUCUGCAAAUGGUUCCGCUCAAAGAACUUGGGGUAAAGUUGACCGAGGACUCGGAUUCUGAGAGGACUCCUAUCACGUUCUUCAUGAGAGUUUUAGGCUAUUUGGACUGAGGAAUGAUUUGGAGGUACGUCGGGGGCAUUCCCUCACUGAGGCCAUCAGUGGCUGCCUCCCUGCAUUGGCUGCUGGUUUGAGUUCCUUCACAGAACUUCUUCGUCAAGUUUUUCAUAGGAACGCUGCAGUGAAGUGGAGUGAAAGAGACUGGGGAUUGAAGGGUGAACCCCUUCCAGCCCCAAUCCCAUCCCGAUUCCUGUCUGGAUGCAGAUUCAGUCUGACUCAGAACGGAUAGUUCACCCUUUUACUGAUCCAAGUGCUCUGUCCUCUUUUUUUCAGAGGAAUGUUCUGACUGGCUACAAACUUUUCUUCUGUCACUGCAGGACCUCCCGUGGAGCAAUUUUCGAUAGGUCUUCUACUAUGCUUUUUUACCGCGUCAUUGUUAUUGCUGAGAAAAUAAUGCUUAGUUAGGAAAAAAAAUAGCAGAGCAUAUGAGCUGAUGAUA
rnacentral:lncRNA from 1 species